UACGGAGGGUGCAAGCGUUGUCCGGAUUUAUUGGGUUUAAAGGGUGCGUAGGCGGAUUCUCAAGUCCGGGGUGAAAUCCCACAGCUCAACUGUGGAACUGCCUCGGAUACUGGGAGUCUCGAGGGUGGCAGGGGUAUGCGGAACUAUCGGUGGAGCGGUGAAAUGCGUUAUAUCGAUAGGAACUCCGGUGGCGAAGGGCGGCAUACUGGUCCACUUUCUGAC
rnacentral:rRNA from 1 species